ACUGGUACUCGAGUGGCGAACGGGUGAGUAACACGUGGGUGAUCUGCCCCGCACUUCGGGAUAAGCCUGGGAAACUGGGUCUAAUACCGGAUAGGACCACUUCUUGGAGGUUGUGGUGGAAAGUUUUUUUCGGUGUGGGAUGAGCUCGCGGCCUAUCAGCUUGUUGGUGGGGUAAUGGCCUACCAAGGCGUCGACGGGUAGCCGGCCUGAGAGGGUGUACGGCCACAUUGGGACUGAGAUACGGCCCAGACUCCUACGGGAGGCAGCAGUGGGGAAUAUUGCACAAUGGGCGCAAGCCUGAUGCGGCGACGCCGCGUGGGGGAUGACGGCCUUCGGGUUGUAAACUCCUUUCGCUAGGGACGAAGCGCAAGUGACGGUACCUAGAGAAGAAGCACCGGCUAACUACGUGCCAGCAGCCGCGGUAAUACGUAGGGUGCGAGCGUUGUCCGGAAUUACUGGGCGUAAAGAGCUCGUAGGUGGUUUGUCGCGUCGUUUGUGUAAGCCCGCAGCUUAACUGCGGGACUGCAGGCGAUACGGGCAUAACUUGAGUGCUGUAGGGGAGACUGGAAUUCCUGGUGUAGCGGUGGAAUGCGCNAGAUAUCAGGAGGAACACCGAUGGCGAAGGCAGGUCUCUGGGCAGUAACUGACGCUGAGGAGCGAAAGCAUGGGGAGCGAACAGGAUUAGAUACCCUGGUAGUCCAUGCCGUAAACGGUGGGCGCUAGGUGUGAGUCCCUUCCACGGGGUUCGUGCCGUAGCUAACGCAUUAAGCGCCCCGCCUGGGG
rnacentral:rRNA from 1 species